rnacentral:rRNA from 1 species
GACGAACGCUGGCGGCGUGCUUAACACAUGCAAGUCGAACGGAAAGGCCCUGCUUUUGUGGGGUGCUCGAGUGGCGAACGGGUGAGUAACACGCGAGUAACCUGCCCUUGACUUUGUGAUAACUUCAGGAAACUGGGGCGAAUACCGGAUAUGAGCUCCUGCUGCAUGGUGGGGGAUGGAAAGUUUCGGCGGUUGUGGAUGGACUCGCGGGUUAUCAGCUUGUUGGUGGGGUAGUGGCUUACCAAGGCUUUGACGGGUAGCCGGCCUGGGAGGGUGACCGGCCACAUUGGGACUGCGAGACGGCGCAGACUCGUACGGGAGGCAGCAGUGGGGAAUAUUGCACAAUGGGCGGAAGUCAGAUGCAGAAACGCCGCGUGCGGGAUGAUGGCUUACGGGUUGUAAACAGCUUUCGACUGUGACGAGGACUGAGUGACGGUACUGGGUAAAGAAGCAACGGCUAACUACGUG